rnacentral:rRNA from 1 species
GAUGAACGCUGGCGGCGUGCUUAACACAUGCAAGUCGAACGGUGAAAGAGAGCUUGCUCUCUGGAUCAGUGGCGAACGGGUGAGUAACACGUGAGCAAUCUGCCCCUGACUCUGGGAUAAGCGCUGGAAACGGCGUCUAAUACCGGAUACGAGCUGCGAAGGCAUCUUCAGCAGCUGGAAAGAUCUUCGGUCAGGGAUGAGCUCGCGGCCUAUCAGCUAGUUGGUGAGGUAAUGGCUCACCAAGGCGUCGACGGGUAGCCGGCCUGAGAGGGUGACCGGCCACACUGGGACUGAGACACGGCCCAGACUCCUACGGGAGGCAGCAGUGGGGAAUAUUGCACAAUGGGCGCAAGCCUGAUGCAGCAACGCCGCGUGAGGGACGACGGCCUUCGGGUUGUAAACCUCUUUUAGCAGGGAAGAAGCGAAAGUGACGGUACCUGCAGAAAAAGCACCGGCUAACUACGUGCCAGCCGCCGCUGUAAGAC